rnacentral:rRNA from 1 species
AGAGUUUGAUCCUGGCUCAGAUUGAACGCUGGCGGCAUGCCUUACACAUGCAAGUCGAACGGCAGCACGGGGGCAACCCUGGUGGCGAGUGGCGAACGGGUGAGUAAUACAUCGGAACGUGUCCUGUAGUGGGGGAUAGCCCGGCGAAAGCCGGAUUAAUACCGCAUACGCUCUACGGAGAAAGGGGGGGAUCUUAGGACCUCCCGCUACAGGGGCGGCCGAUGGCAGAUUAGCUAGUUGGUGGGGUAAAGGCCUACCAAGGCGACGAUCUGUAGCUGGUCUGAGAGGACGACCAGCCACACUGGGACUGAGACACGGCCCAGACUCCUACGGGAGGCAGCAGUGGGGAAUUUUGGACAAUGGGCGAAAGCCUGAUCCAGCAAUGCCGCGUGUGUGAAGAAGGCCUUCGGGUUGUAAAGCACUUUUGUCCGGAAAGAAAACGCCGUGGUUAAUACCCGUGGCGGAUGACGGUACCGGAAGAAUAAGCACCGGCUAACUACGUG